AUUGAGAUAGUAAAUGACAUUCUAACAAUUGGUGUUUUCAUGUUACUACAUUAAGUUCAGUGAUAUGCUUUAAAACUUAUUCCGUUGUAAAAUCAUGAGUAAAAUAUCAUUUUUGUAUGGUUGGUCAAGGAGUUUUUUUUUUUUUUUUAAAGUAAUCUUUGGGGAUGCCACAAGUUAAAAAAGUCGUUGUCGAUAUUUGAACGAGAGAUUGUGAAGGAACCUUCAGAGGAAGUGUGUUUGCAAAAGUCGACACGUAGGGAAUUUGGAUAAUUUUAUCUAUUUUGUCUACGUUAAUUGUUGCAAAGUACUUGGGAAUAUUUAGUUCUCGAAAAAGAUUUAUAAGAAUUAAGAGUUUC
rnacentral:lncRNA from 1 species